AACUGAAGAGUUUGAUCAUGGCUCAGAUUGAACGCUGGCGGCAGGCUUAACACAUGCAAGUCGAGCGGGGGAAGGUAGCUUGCUACUGGACCUAGCGG
rnacentral:rRNA from 1 species